rnacentral:tRNA from 1 species
GAUAGGAUGGCCGAGUGUUAGGCGGUGGCUUGUAGCUCCAUGGACAGAGGUUCAAUUCCUCUUCUUAUCA